GGGCCCAUAGCUCAACUGGCAGAGCAUCGGACUCUUAAUCCGCAGGUUGGAGGUUCGAUUCCUCCUGGGCUCACCA
rnacentral:tRNA from 1 species